rnacentral:rRNA from 1 species
AAACUGGUAACCUAGAGGUAUGGGAGGGGGGGAGAUGGAAUUAGUGGUGUAGGGGGUAAAAUCCGUAGAUAUCACUAGGAAUACCGAAAGCGAAGGCGAUCUCCUGGAACAAUACUGACGCUAAGGCGUGAAAGCGUGGGGAGCAAACGGGAUUAGAUACCCCGGUAGUCCACGCCCUAAACGAUGUUCACUAGUCGUCGGAAUGCUAGUCAUUUCGGUGAUGCACUUAACAGAUUAAGUGAACCGCCUGGGGAGUACGGUCGCAAGAUUAAAACUCAAAGGAAUAGACGGGGACCCGCACAAGUGGUGGAGCAUGUGGUUUAAUUCGAAGAUACGCGAAGAACCUUACCUAGCCUUGACAUUGAUUGAACACUUUAGAGAUAGAGUGGUGCCCUUCGGGGAACAUGAAAACAGGUGCUGCACGGCUGUCGUCAGCUCGUGUCGUGAGAUGUUGGGUUAGGUCCCGCAACGAGCGCAACCCUCGUCCUUAGUUGCCAGCAGGUUAUGCUGGGCACUCUAAGGAGACUGCCUUCGCAAGGAGGAGGAAGGUGAGGACGACGUCAAGUCAUCAUGGCCCUUAUGGCUAGGGCUACACACGUGCUACAAUGGGGCGUACAGAGAGUUGCGAUACCGCGAGGUGGAGCCAAUCUCAUAAAGCGUCUCUCAGUUCGGAUUGAAGUCUGCAACUCGACUUCAUGAAGCUGGAAUCACUAGUAAUCGUAGAUCAGCAAUGCUACGGUGAAUACGUUCCCGGGUCUUGUACUCACCGCCCGUCACAC